GAUAAGAGUUAACUUAGCUAGCUAGCUAGUCUGGAGAGCAUAUUUAGCGGGCAAAAUGCUAACGUGAGGGCUCGGUGUGUGGAUAAGGACUGGGGAUAAGAGUUAGCUUAGCUAGCUAGCUAGUCUGGAGAGCGUUUUUAGCGGGUAAAAUGCUAACGUGGGGGCUUGGUGUGUGGAUAAAGACUGGGGAUAAGAGUUAGCUUAGCUAGCUAGUCUGGAGAGCGUUUUUAGCGGGCAAAAUGCUAACGUGGGGGCUCAGUGUGUGGAUAAGGACUGGGGAUAAGAGUUAACUUAGCUAGCUAGCUAGUCUGGAGAGCAUAUUUAGCGGGCAAAAUGCUAACGUGGGGGCUUGGUGUGUGGAUAAAGACUGGGGAUAAGAGUUAGCUUAGCUAGCUAGCUAGUCUGGAGAGCGUUUUUAGCGGGUAAAAUGCUAACGUGAGGGCUCAGUGUGUGGAUAAGGACUGGGGAUAAGAGUUAGCUUAGCUAGCUAGCUAGUCUGGAGAGCGUUUUUAGCGGGUAAAAUGCUAACGUGGGGCUCGGUGUGUGGAUAAGGACUGGGGAUAAGAGUUAGCUUAGCUAGCUAGCUAGUCUGGAGAGCGUUUUUAGCGGGUAAAAUGCUAACGUGGGGCUCGGUGUGUGAAUAAGGACUGGGGAUAAUAGAGUUAGCUUAGCUAGCUAGCUAGUCUGGAGAGCGUUUUUAGCGGGCAAAAUGCUAACGUGGGGGUUGGUGUGUGGAUAAGGACUUGGGAUAAGAGUUAACUUAGCUAGCUAGCUAGUCUGGAGAGCAUAUUUAGCGGGCAAAAUGCUAACGUGGGGGCUUGGUGUGUGGAUAAGGACUGGGGAUAAGAGUUAGCUUAGCUAGCUAGCUAGUCUGGAGAGCGUUUUUAGCGGGUAAAAUGCUAACGUGGGGCUCUGUGUGUGGAUAAGGACUGGGGAUAAGAGUUAGCUUAGCUAGCUAGCUAGUCUGGAGAGCGUUUUUAGCGGGUAAAAUGCUAACGUGGGGCUCGGUGUGUGGAUAAGGACUGGGGAUAAUAGAGUUAGCUUAGCUAGCUAGCUAGUCUGGAGAGCGUUUUUAGCGGGCAAAAUGCUAACGUGGGGGCUUGGUGUGUGGAUAAGGACUGGGGAUAAGAGUUAACUUAGCUAGCUAGCUAGUCUGGAGAGCAUAUUUAGCGGGCAAAAUGCUAACGUGGGGGCUUGGUGUGUGGAUAAGGACUGGGGAUAAGAGUUAACUUAGCUAGCUAGCUAGUCUGGAGAGCAUAUUUAGCGGGCAAAAUGCUAACGUGGGGGCUUGGUGUGUGGAUAAGGACUGGGGAUAAGAGUUAACUUAGCUAGCUAGUCUGGAGAGCAUAUUUAGCGGGCAAAAUGCUAACGUGGGGGCUUGGUGUGUGGAUAAAGACUGGGGAUAAGAGUUAGCUAACCUUGCUAGUUUUGUUUUGUAUUUGUUCAAAAUUUAACUUGCCUGUUGACCAUAUUUUUAGAUCCACUUAGCGAGUUAGUUAUUUCACACUGUUUUGAGUUGUGCACUUGUUCAUUUAAAUAUCAAAGAGGAGUUCCAGGGCAUAACUAACGUUACUUUGCAUCUGGAGUCAAAAUUCAUGUUAAAGCUUGACCAGUAUACGUUACACAAAAACUUCUCUAUCUUCAGUGCCAAGGCCGGAGCGUCAGGAAGAAGAAUGCAAGGCAUAAUGAGCUGUUUGGUCAAGGGAGCAGUCACCACUGAGCCUGGUGGAGUAUGUGGGGGGAACAUGGCCUGCUCGCAGAACACUUUGAUGAGGGUGAGGUCAAUAUUUCACAGCACAUCAUGAAGAUCUUCACAGUGAAGGAAGAGGGUGCAACAGAGGAUGAAGGUACCAUCUUUGAGGGUCAAGAGGUACUGGCUGGUCUUGGAAAUGUCCCACAGGCAUGUGCUGCACUUCUGGGGUUCAUAUAUGCCUUGAAUUUGCAGUACCCUAAACCACUGACAUACACAUUGGAAGUGUUUCAGAAGCUUUUUAUGGAACAGGAUGGACUGAAACUUUCUCACAAGGUGCUGUCUCUUAAAACAACAGCUGUUAAUUAAGCCUUGCUACCUCAAAUAGGCUUGAAGGAGAACGCUGGUGUAAAGUUGACUUGGUGUAAUAAAACAUGAUAAUUUUUUUUUUACUAAAACCUGCCAAUAAAUGCAAAAGUGGUUAAAAGUC